GACGAACGCUGGCGGCGUGCCUAAUACAUGCAAGUAGAACGCACAGUUUAUACCGUAGCUUGCUACACCAUAGACUGUGAGUUGCGAACGGGUUAGUAACGCGUAGGUAACCUGCCUGGUAGCGGGGGAUAACUAUUGGAAACGAUAGCUAAUACCGCAUAAUAUUGAUUAUUGCAUGAUAAUUAAUUGAAAGGUGCAAUUUCACCACUACCAGAUGGACCUGCGUUGUAUUAGCUAGUAGGUGAGGUAACGGCUCACCUAGGCGACGAUACAUAGCCGACCUGAAAGGGUGAUCGGCCACACUGGGACUGGGACACGGCCCAGACUCCUACGGGAGGCAGCAGUAGGGGAUCUUCGGCAAUGGACGAAAGUCUGACCGAGCAACGCCGCGUGAGUGAAGAAGGUUUUCGGAUCGUAAAGCUCUGUUGUAAGAGAAGAACGGGUGUGAGAGUGGAAAGUUCACACUGUGACGGUAUCUUACCAGAAAGAGACGGCUAACUCCGUG
rnacentral:rRNA from 1 species